UUUCUAGUUGACGACUUAGACGAACCCCCAUUUGCUGGCUACUUUCAAAAUUUUUUCUCUCCACUCCUUGAUAAUAGCCAGGCAAAACAAACCGUUAACCCUCUCCCUGAUAUCCC
rnacentral:ribozyme from 1 species